rnacentral:lncRNA from 1 species
GACUGCGGUGCGUGGACCUGCUGGGUGAUGCCGAGAGCACUGCCAGGGCAUGGGGCAUCCAACGCCGAGCAGAGAACAGCACCAGGAGAGCUGCCCUCAGGUGGUUGGUGGAGAACCUCCUGGGCAAGGGAUCCUGUGCUGGAUUCCCUGUGGCAAAGGUCUCCCAACCCUCCCGUACCCCCGGCUGGGUGACAGGUGGGACAAGAGGGUGGCUCCUCACUGCUCUGUGAAUAAGGCCCUUCACUUCCAUCGCUUUGUUCUCAUGCGUAUGGGUGCAGCAGAAGGAAAGCAUUUUAUUUUCACUACCCGCAGCAGCUUAAUGGGUUCUGAACAGAACCUGAAGUGUGCAUGGAUUUAGCAGGGAAAAAAAAAGAAAAAAAGAAGAAUAAAAGAAAAAAAAAGAAAAAAGCAAGCUAUAUUUCUUCUUGGUUGGGACCCAAAUCUCUUUCUUCUCUUCUCCCACUACCACUUCUCCCAUUUGCUCCCACUGUAAGUUCGGAAGAGUGGUAAGUGAUGGGAGCGCCUUGUGUGUGCGGUGCUAAUGCUGGCUGCCGCACCGCGACCCCCCCGACCCCCCCGGAGCUCCCCAGCUCCCAGCACGGCUCCAGCCCGUCCUCCGCCGCCGUUUCUCCCGCUGUCACUGGAGGGAGCUGCCUCUCCUCCAUCCGGCCCCGAGCUGCGGAGCGCGCCGGGGGGUGGAAGCAGGCGGGGGGGGGGCGGUCACGGAAAGCCGUGGAUGCGGUCACGCGCGUGUGUGGCACGAGGGGAUGUGCUGACGGAUACCUGUAGUCAGGUGAAGGCACGGCGCUGUUUUGUCUGGCCCCGGUGCCAGCCUGGAUGGGCUGUGUUUGGGAAGAUCCAGGCUCCUGCUGGAUCCCCAGAUCCCUUCACAUGUAACAGCUGCCUCGAAGCUGCAAUACCGAUGGAUAUUGCUAGAUGAACAUGGAAUAAGGAAAAACCAGCUCAUGGUCACCGCUGCCCCAGGGCCUCAUUUCCAGUGGAAAAAUGUGGAUGCCUGUAAGCUUCAUGCAGACUGGAACCUACUGGUGGGGCUGGAACAGAGACUGAUAGCUCCUUACAGCUACUGGGAAUGUUCAGGCCAAGAAGACUUCGAGCACCCAAGGAGCAAAGUCUCUGAAUGCAGAGUCCUUGCACAUCUCCCCCAGAGCUACCAGUGCACUAUUAGGCAAAUAAUCCAGGCAGGACACUUACAGGCUUCUUUUUAUUAAAAGACAUUUUCAGAAAAGAUAUUUUAGUACAAAAAAAAAAAAAAAAGUUUAAAAUACACAAACUACAGUUGUUGUUUUCCAGCGCCGACGUUUAUAAAUUACACCACAUUAACACUGCAUUUAAAUACGGAAACAAAUUAAAACGAGAAAUUCAUCGAAAAGACCCAACAUCCUACAAAUGGCUAUUUACAAUAUUUAGCAGCUAGGAGCUCUAGCACGGCAGUCAAUAUGACUUCAAUAGGGCAGGAUGCUUGGGAAGCCCCAAGCCGGCAGCUUGGCCCGUAACAGUUUUCGGGGACCUGUUUCACCCACCUCUCCCGACACCAAGGCAGAAUUGCACCCAGCCAGGAGGUGCAGCUCUUGCAGAGCAGCCCUGAUGUCCCCUGGCCUUCAGGGUGUAUUGCAAGGCAUUCAGGAGGGACUCUGCAAAGGAUGGGGACUCUUUUCGGAGAAGGCAGAGCUGUAAGAGCGUACAGCUGGCAGCAGGACCACGGCUUCCCAGGGAUGGGCGCUGCUCCAUGCGUGUGUUGUCCCAGCGCACGUCCCACCGCUGUGAGCUACAGGCUCAGCUGUGACUCAGCCCCCAGCACCCCCCCACCGCUGCCUGCAUCAUCUUGCUCAUCACUUCCCGGAGCUGCACGCAUUUUUCCCAGCUCCCAGCAAAUUCCAGCCAGCUUUCAAGCAUUGGGGCUGGGGAAACUGAGGGAGCUCGAGG